GACGAACGCUGGCGGCGUGCUUAACACAUGCAAGUCGAGCGGUAAGGCCCUUUCGGGGGUACACGAGCGGCGAACGGGUGAGUAACACGUGGGUGACUUGCCCUCAGCUCUGGGAUAAGCCUGGGAAACCGGGUCUAAUACUGGAUAUGACUCCAUGACGCAUGUUGUGGGGUGGAAAGCCUUGUGCGGCUGAGGAUGGGCCCGCGGCCUAUCAGCUUGUUGGUGGGGUGANGGCCUACCAAGGCGACGACGGGUAGCCGGCCUGAGAGGGCGACCGGCCACACUGGGACUGAGACACGGCCCAGACUCCUACGGGAGGCAGCAGUGGGGAAUCUUGCGCAAUGGGCGAAAGCCUGACGCAGCGACGCCGCGUGAGGGAUGACGGCCU
rnacentral:rRNA from 1 species